rnacentral:rRNA from 1 species
AGCGAACGCUGGCGGCAGGCCUAACACAUGCAAGUCGAACGAACCUUUCGGGGUUAGUGGCGGACGGGUGAGUAACACGUGGGAACGUGCCUUUAGGUUCGGAAUAACUCAGGGAAACUUGUGCUAAUACCGAAUGUGCCCUCCGGGGGAAAGAUUUAUCGCCUUUAGAGGGGCCCGCGUCUGAUUAGCUAGUUGGUUGAGGUAAUGGCUCACCAAGGCGACGAUCAGUAGCUGGUCUGAGAGGAUGAUCAGCCACAUUGGGACUGAGACACGGCCCAAACUCCUACGGGAGGCAGCAGUGGGGAAUCUUGCGCAAUGGGCGAAAGCCUGACGCAGCCAUGCCGCGUGAAUGAUGAAGGUAUUAGGAUUGUAAAAUUCUUUCACCGGGGACGAUAAUGACGGCACCCGGAGAAGAAGCCCCGGCUAACUUCGUG